ensembl:snRNA U1 U1 spliceosomal RNA
AUACUUACCUGGCAGGGGAGACUAUAUGAUUAGGCAGGCAGUUUUCCUAGGGUGAGGCUCUUCCCCUGCACACUGCUUUGCUGACUCCUGUGAUUUUCCCAAAUGCAGGAAAUUCAGAAAUUGUAGGAGUGGGGAACUGCAUUUGUGCUCUCCCCUG